AUGGGUCCUGGGGGGGAUAACGUGGGUGAGGGUGGAAAUAGGGUCUGGGGGCUUGGGGGCUUAGAACUGGGGGAACAACAUGGGUUGGGGGGCAGAACGGGGGCUUCAAGAAAGACAUUGUCAGGUUGGAGGCUGAACCAAAGGGACCUUAAAGUGCUCAUUCCUUGGGGGUCCACAUUAGGACCCAUUGGGGGUCCACGUUGGGCGCCCCCAGCCCUUUUUUGUGUCCCCCCCCCCGUUGGGCUGCGCUCCCUGCAAUGUCCAUGGCCGCCAGCAGUGCGCUAUAGCGCUGCGGCCGCCUGCAGUACCGGGGGCGUCCGCUGGGGGCGCUGUAACGGGGCGUCAAUGGCGUCUAUGUUUAAAGCGUGUGAUCCGGUCCGGUCCCGGUUCGGUUCCGGUUCGGUCCGCAGGAGGUUCGGGCGGCCGGAGGGAGGUGGCGUUCAGCUGCAGGUCGUAGAGGCCGCGCGACGUUUAGCGGCAGCCCGGGGCUGCCCCGAGCAGCGACGGCGCCGGCAGCGGCUGCAGGGAGAGGCGGCUCAAAGGCUGCGGCAGCUCCGGGCACAGCUGGACGAGAACGGCUCCGUGUGUGAGCUGCCCCCAUUGGAGAACGGCCUCCCCCCCCCCAAGCCGCACUGGGAUCCUCAGAUUCCUUCUCACUCCCCCUCCCCGUCCCCCCCGGUGCAUUUGCCCCCCACCCACUUUAGAGCCUUUCUGAGACCCCCCACAACCCCCCCAUUCCCCCCCCUUAAAGCCCCCAAGGAUCCCCCUAAUUCCCCCCCCACCUCCCAAGCCCCUUUGGGACCCUCAGAGCCCCUCCUAGAACAGACCCCCCCCUCCCUUGCUUCUAAGCCCCCCCCUCCCCCAAACUGGGCCCCCCCAGCCCUUCCCUAUGUCCCCCCCCCCACAGGAAGCUGACGGGCAGCUGCCCCCGAGUACCCCCUGGAACCGGGGAGAGACCCCAGCCCCCCCCACGGCGUCGAUCUGCAGCCCCCCCACGAGGAGCCCUGACCGAGGUGAGGAGCCCUUAUGGGGGAGGCUAAGGGACCCUAUGGGGGUCUAAGGGACCCUAUGGGGGGCUAAGGACCCUAUGGGGGUUCUAAGGGACCCUAUGGGGUCUAAGGCCCCCUAUGGGGUCUAAGGGACCCUAUGGGGGGCUAAGGGACCCUAUGGGGGCUAAGGGACCCUAUGGGUGCCUAGGAAACCAUGGACCCUAUGGUUCCUAUGGUCCUAUGGGACCCUAGGAAAUAGGGUCUGGGGGGGGAUAACGUGGGUGAGGGUGGAAAUAGGGUCUGGGGCUUGGGGGCUUAGAACUGGGGGGACAACAUGGGUUGGGGGGCAGAACGGGGGCUCAGAAAAAGACAUUGUCAGGUUGAGGGCUGAACCAAAGGGACCUUAAAUGUCCUCAGUCCUUGGGGGUCCACAUUAGGACCCAUUGGGGGUCCACGUUGGGCGCCCCCAGCCCCUUUUUUGUGUCCCCCCCCCCCGUUGGGGCUGCGCUCCCUGCAAUGUCCAUGGCCGCCAGCAGUGGCGCUAUAGCGCUGCGGCCGCCUGCAGUACCGGGGGCGUCCGCUGGGGGGCGCUGUAACGGGGCGUCAAUGGCGUCUAUGUUUUAAAGCGUGUGAUCCGGUCCGGUCCCGGUUCGUUCCGGUUCGGUCCCGCAGGCGUUCGGGCGGCCCGGAGGGAGGUGGCGUUCAGCUGCAGGUCGUAGAGGCCGCGCGACGUUUAGCGGCAGCCCGGGGCGCCCCCGGAGCAGCGACGGCGCCGGCAGCGGCUGCAGGUGGAGGCGGCUCAAAGGCUGCGGCAGCUCCGGGCACAGCUGGGUAAUGGGGGGCGAUAAAGGGGGUCUAUGGGGGAUAAAGGGGGUCUAUGGGGGAUAAAGGGGUCUAUGGGGGGAUAAAGGGGUCUAUGGGGGGAUAAAGGGGUUUAUGGGGGGAUAAAGGGGUCUAUGGGGUGAUAAAGGGGGUCUAUGGGGGGCUAAAGGGGGUCUAUGGGGGGAUAAAGGGGUCUAUGGGGGAUAAAGGGGGUCUAUGGGGGAUAAAGGGGUCUAUGGGGGAUAAAGGGGUUCUAUGGGGAAAGGGGUCUAAUGGGGGGCCAAAGGGGUCUAUGGGGGGAUAAAGGGGUCUGUGGGGGGAAACUGGGGGGCUGUGGGGGGUACAGGGGGAUGGAGGGGGAAAAUAGGGGUCUAUGGGGGGAUAGAGGGGUCUAUGGGGGGAUAAGGGGGUCUAUGGGGGAUAAAGGGGUCAAUGGGGGCUAAAGGGGGUCUAUGGGGGGGAUAAAGGGGUCUAUGGGGGAUAAGGGGUCUAUGGGGGGAUAAAGGGUCUAGGGGAUGAAAGGGGUUAUGGGGGAUAAAAGGGGUCUAUGGGGUGAUAAAGGGGUCUAGGGGGGCUAAAGGGGGUCUAUGGGGGAUAAAGGGGUCUAUGGGGGGAUAAGGGGGUCUAUGGGGGAUAAAGGGGGUCUAUGGGGGAUAAAGGGGGUCUAUGGGGGGAUAAAGGGGGUCUAUGGGGGGCUAAAGGGGUCUGUGGGGGGAUAAAGGGGGUCUGUGGGGGGAUAAAGGGGGUCUGUGGGGGGAUAAAGGGGGUCUGUGGGGGAUAAAGGGCCUAUGGGGGGAUAAGGGGUCUAUGGGGGAUAAAGGGGUCUAUGGGAUAGGGGGUCUGUGGGGGUAAAGGGGGUCGGGGGGGGGAUAAGGGGUCUGUGGGGGGUAAAGGGGGUGUAUGGGGAUAAAGGGGGUCUAAUGGGGAAUAAAGGGGGGUCUAUGGGGGCUAAAGGGGUCUAU
rnacentral:lncRNA from 1 species